rnacentral:rRNA from 1 species
GUUGAACGCUGGCGGCAUGCCUAAUACAUGCAAGUCGAGCGAACAGAUGAGGCGUUCGCCUGUCUUCCGCUAGCGGCGGACGGGUGAGUACUACGUGGCUACCCGAUCUAUAAGACUGGGAUACGUUCGCGAGACCUAAUCUCACAUCGGUCAAUAUAUUGAACCGCAUGGUUCUUCAGAGCUCGCCCGAUUUGCUGACACUAAUACAGGGUACCAGGCCGCAGUAGCUAGUUGGUAGGGUAAAGGCUUACCAAGGCAACGAUGCGUAGCCGACCUGAGAGGGUGAUCGGUCACACUGGAACUGAGACACGGUCCAGACUCCUACGGGAGGCAGCAGUGGGGAAUCUUCGGCAAUGGGCGAAAGCCUGACGGAGCAAUGCCGCGUGAGUGAAGAAGGUCUUCGGAUCGUAAAGCUCUGUUAGUUGGGAAGAACAGAAGUGUGAGAAACUAUGGCCGUUUUGACGUUACCUACAGAGAAAGCAACGGCUAACUUCGUG